rnacentral:rRNA from 1 species
CCUACGGGGCGCAGCAGUGGGGAAUAUUGGGCAAUGGGCGCAAGCCUGACCCAGCAACGCCGCGUGAAGGAAGAAGGCUUUCGGGUUGUAAACUUCUUUUCUGAGGGACGAAGAAAGUGACGGUACCUCAGGAAUAAGCCACGGCUAACUACGUGCCAGCAGCCGCGGUAAUACGUAGGUGGCAAGCGUUAUCCGGAUUUAUUGGGUGUAAAGGGCGUGUAGGCGGGAAAGCAAGUCAGAUGUGAAAAACACGGGCGCAACCUGUGGCCUGCAUUUGAAACUGUAGUUCUUGAGUGC